UUAUUUUAAAUAAAAUCAAAAGCAGGGUAGGAAUGAGUAAUCUGUAACUUUAGGUCCCAAUAUUCUUCUUGGGAUUGGUAAAACUAUUUUUUAUUUUCUUAUUUUUUUUUUAUUUUUUUAAAUCCCAACAAAAUAAAAGAAAAAGAAAAAAGAAACCCUUCAUUUCCCCUAUAAAUAUCACCUUCAAGCCUCACCUAAAACCUACACCUUUACUCCUAUCUCUCUUACCCAAACCAAACCAAUAAAACCUCUUUUCCUUUUUCCGUUACAGCAUUCAUUUUAAUGGCCGGAGUUUCUUUUGAUAAUUCCACCAAAACCCUUUUUCUCUCUAACCUUAUUGGUUAGGAUCCACAGGAAUCUAAAUUUAUGUAUAUAUGUAUAUUAUUGUACGUUUGGUGGCCGUGUUUAUGGAUACAUACAUGACCCUCUUUUUAUUCUUCCACAGCUUUCUUGAACUGCAUCUGAGAAAAGAAAGAGAGAAUCUUCACAAUUUUUUUUUUUUUUUUUUUUGAGAUGAAAGAAAGACUGCUUUUUGAAACUUUGGUUUAUGGAUACUUCUCUCUCUCUUGUUAAUUGAGUUGCGGUUCAAUAAAGCUGUGGGAAGAUACAAAUAGGGUCAAAGAAAAGGUUUUAUCAACAUCGGAAUUCAAGUAAUGGUGAAAUUGAUCUGUGAACUUUCGUCUGAGACAUGGGUUUUUUUUUUUAAAAAAAAAAACCCAACAUGAUGAAUGGCCAUUAUUAAAGAUUUGUUUUGAUAAUGAUUUUAUGUUGAUAAGUUUGUUCUUAUGUGCCUAUGGGAAUUAACCUUAAACUCAAUGUGCUUUUUUCAUGUGACUGAGAUUUAUGUCAUCAAAAAAUAAUUUUUUGUACCGAUCCAUGAAAAAUCUCUGGUCUAGGAGUAUGUAUAUAUGUCAGAACAUGGGGUUUUAACCAUGCAGACUUAAAGAACUAUGUCAGUCAUUAUAAAAAAAAUAUAAAUUAAAAUUAAAAUAUCCUCCUUUUCGGUGAAAACUUUCUCUUAAACAAUUCUUAUUAUAAAAUUAAGAACCAUUGAUCUGAAUUAUCUUGUACUUGAGAAAAUGCACAAUAUAACAAUAUAUAUAUGCUAUAUACAUUGUACUUUUUUGUUGUUGAUCAUGAUGUUUUCAUGGACUUUAUUUGUAUAUCUUUAGUUUAGAUUCUUGUCUCUGUUUUUUUUGGCAUUUUAGUUUUUUUCUUCUUACCAUAUAUUUUAGCAUGCUUUCACAAAAAAUGUUGACAGAUAUUCCAUGCACAGGCCUUGUAUAUCUGUUUUGUUUUUUCUUUUCUUGUGUGUGAAUCAAAUAUAUAUAUAUCCAUAUAUUUAUGUAUGCGAUCUGUAAAUAAUUUGUCGGUUCAUAAAGUAUUAUAACACAUACACACAUACAUAUAUAUGCACACACACAAUCCAACCCCUCAGAUUCUAUUAUAAGGCUUUCAAUAUAUAUAAUCUUUAAGUGAGUCGAUAAUUGAUUGCACAUAAUCGAUAGUUUGGCAUCUUCAAGGCUGUUUAUUUUUAGAUAGUUAAUGCUAUACACACACUGUCAUAUACUUAAUUUAAAGUAAAUGUAUAGCUAGGUAGGUUUUCAUUGUAAUAAGUAGUUUAUUAGGUUUACAUUUUACUUAGUUGGGAAUUAUUUGAAGAGAAAAAACAAAGACUUUUAUUUAGAUAGAUGUAUUAAUAUUGCGACUAACUGAUUAAUUAAUGACAUGAAACAAAUUUCAGUAGCUAAAUGUUCUUCUGGACCACAAGGUACUGUACAUAUAUAUAUACAUACAUGUAUAUAUCUUUACUGAACAUCAUGAAAUUUUACAUCAUUACAAUUUACCUUGCUUAUUAGUUUUGAAAAAGCAAUCAAGCUAAGAUCUAGUAACAGUUUGAAUACUUAAAAGAUAUAGAUCGAUCUUCUGGUUAGUUUAGUUUUGCUAAUAUAUAUUUAUAUAUAUAAAUAUAUAUUAUGUGUGUUUAUUAUAAUAAUAUGUAUAAUAGAAAAUACGAGUUAAUUAAGUAAAGCAAAGAAGAAAUUAAAUAAAGAAAGAGAGAAAAAAGUAUCCAAGAUAAUUUACCAUGCAUUGAGAAGAGUAAGAUAAUUAACCAAAGAAAAACUAGAAACUUUUGUGAGAAAAAGAACUGUCAAACCACUAAGAUGUACUCAUGUCUUCAUGUAUUUUCUGUGAUAAUAUACAGCAAACAACUUCAGCUUUUUCAUGUGCAUACACAAGCUGGUGUGCGAUAUAUAUUUUAUGUAUAUAUAUAUGCCAUGAUCAGUACUAGGAAAAAAUACUAAGCAUAUUUAUAAGAUAUUCCCAGGCAUAAAUACAUAUAUAUUAUGUAUACACUAUAGUAGCUCAAUCCUGUACAUAUAUAUGAGAGUAAAUAAAUACUAAGUAACAUAUAUUUAUAUAUAUAACAGGAUCUUAAUUUACAUGAAAUCCUUAGCUGGAUUUGUAUAUAUAGAUUCCCUUUGAGGUUUCACGGGGCCUCCAGUCUUGAUCCAAUUAAUAAGCCAACCUACUUUAUAUGAUCCAACAACCUUUAUUGUUUGGAUAUGUACACAUACAUACAUAUAUUUAUAUAAAUAUUUCUUGAUCUUACCCACUAAUCACACACCUAUGCUAAAUGCCACCCUUUCAUUUGCUGUUCCAUCUUCUUUAAACAAUUGUUUAUUUAAUAUAUAUAUAUUAUAUAAAAAAAAAAUAUAUGAUGCAUAAACCAUCUUUUGAACUGUUAUUCCUUUUUCUAAUUUGUUUUUUUCUGUGAUUAUAAUAUAUAAUAUAUAUGAACUCGUGAAUCAUUUGCUUUACUUUAGUGAAGAGUUUAAUUAAUGUAUAUACAUAAGGGCUUUUUUUUCUUUCUUUUCUCUCAAGUUUUUCUCAUCAUGAUCUUUAUGUUGAUAAUGUUUGUAGACUUAAAGCUAAACAAAGUGGAGACAAAGAAACUUUAUUUGAUCAAAGUUGAUUAAUCACUUACAGGUUAUCAGGAUUACAAGUCAUUAAUAUGAAGAAAAAGUGGCACUGACUUGUUAUUGAAUUAUUAAUUAAAUGAUAAUUAUGACCAUUGGGAGAGCUAGGGGUGUGGUGAAAAGUCUUAAACUAAUUAACUUUUUCUUACCCUGGAUUUUUGUGAAUAAUUAAAUUUCAUGAUGAAGAGGUUAAAAUCUCAAGAAUAGAGAAAGAAUUUUAAUUAAUGUGUUCAAUGUAUAAGAUGUGUUUCCUUACCAAGAAAAUGUAUAAUACGUAUAUAUAUAUAUAAAUUUAGUUUCCUAAAUUAUAUAAA